UUCUAUAUUUUAUACUAAUUUAUUUUUAAGUGUUUUUAAUUUGUAGGUAAAGCUUAUGGGGAGACGAGGGAGUGGCCGGAUGAUCGGACGACCGUAGGGAGUAAUUCGUUUCUUUCCUUUUACAUUUAUGCAUUUAAUUUAAUUUAGCAUUUUGCAUAUAGAAAUAGAUUUAUUUUUACGUCCGUCCCGGGACAUGCAUGCAUUAAUUUUGUUUCUAUAUUUUAUACUAAUUUAUUUUUAAGUGUUUUUAAUUUGUAGGUAAAGCUUAUGGGGAGACGAGGGAGUGGCCGGAUGAUCGGACGACCGUAGGGAGUAAUUCGUCCCUUUCCUUUUAUAUUUAUGCAUUUAAUUUAAUUUAGCAUUUUGCAUAUAGAAAUAGAUUUAUUUUUACGUCCGUCCCGGGACAUGCAUGCAUUAAUUUUGUUUCUAUAUUUUAUACUAACUUAUUUUUAAGUGUUUUUAAUUUGUAGGUAAAGCUUAUGGGGAGACGAGGGAGUGGCCGGAUGAUCGGACGACCGUAGGGAGUAAUUCGUCCCUUUCCUUUUAUAUUUAUGCAUUUAAUUUAAUUUAGCAUUUUGCAUAUAGAAAUAGAUUUAUUUUUACGUCCGUCCCGGGACAUGCAUGCAUUAAUUUUGUUUCUAUAUUUUAUACUAACUUAUUUUUAAGUGUUUUUAAUUUGUAGGUAAAGCUUAUGGGGAGACGAGGGAGUGGCUGGAUGAUCGGACGACCGUAGGGAGUAAUUCGUCCAUUUCCUUUUACAUUUAUGCAUUUAAUUUAAUUUAGCAUUUUGCAUAUAGAAAUAGAUUUAUUUUUACGUCCGUCCCGGGACAUGCAUGCAUUAAUUUUGUUUCUAUAUUUUAUACUAACUUAUUUUUAAGUGUUUUUAAUUUGUAGGUAAAGCUUAUUGGGAGACGAGGGAGUGGCCGGAUGAUCGGACGACCGUAGGGAGUAAUUCGUCCCUUUCCUUUUACAUUUAUGCAUUUAAUUUAAUUUAGCAUUUUGCAUAUAGAAAUAGAUUUAUUUUUACGUCAGUCUCGGGACAUGCAUGCAUUAAUUUUGUUUCUAUAUUUUACACUAACUUAUUUUUAAGUGUUUUUAAUUUGUAGGUAAAGCUUAUGGGGAGACGAGGGAGUGGCCGGAUGAUCGGACGACCGUAGGGAGUAAUUCGUCCCUUUCCUUUUACAUUUAUGCAUUU